AUUGAACGCUGGCGGCAGGCCUAACACAUGCAAGUCGAGCGGAUGAAGGGAGCUUGCUCCUGGAUUCAGCGGCGGACGGGUGAGUAAUGCCUAGGAAUCUGCCUGGUAGUGGGGGAUAACGUCCGGAAACGGGCGCUAAUACCGCAUACGUCCUGAGGGAGAAAGUGGGGGAUCUUCGGACCUCACGCUAUCAGAUGAGCCUAGGUCGGAUUAGCUAGCUGGUGGGGUAAAGGCCUACCAAGGCGACGAUCCGUAACUGGUCUGAGAGGAUGAUCAGUCACACUGGAACUGAGACACGGUCCAGACUCCUACGGGAGGCAGCAGUGGGGAAUAUUGGACAAUGGGCGAAAGCCUGAUCCAGCCAUGCCGCGUGUGUGAAGAAGGUCUUCGGAUUGUAAAGCACUUUAAGUUGGGAGGAAGGGCAGUAAGUUGAUACCUUGCUGUUUUGACGUUACCAACAGAAUAAGCACCGGCUAACUUCGUG
rnacentral:rRNA from 1 species